UACGAAGGGGGCUAGCGUUGCUCGGAAUCACUGGGCGUAAAGGGUGCGUAGGCGGGUCUUUUAAGUCAGGGGUGAAAUCCUGGAGCUCAACUCCAGAACUGCCUUUGAUACUGAAGAUCUUGAGUUCGGGAGAGGUGAGUGGAACUGCGAGUGUAGAGGUGAAAUUCGUAGAUAUUCGCAAGAACACCAGUGGCGAAGGCGGCUCACUGGCCCGAUACUGACGCUGAGGCACGAAAGCGUGGGGGAGCAAACAGGG
rnacentral:rRNA from 1 species